UUUCUAAAUUUUUUUGUAAGAGAAUCAAAUUGAACGGAUUGUUCUUCCUUCUAUAUGAUUGGUCAAUUUAAUAUCAGAGCAAUGAUCCUCUACAAUUAUAGGAGCCUUCAUUUAUAGUCUAGAUAUGUGAACAAUACAAGUGUACGGGAGAAGGGCUAUCCUUGCUUAGUGCAUAUUGAAUUAUAAAGAUGCGUGUAACUACUAAUUCUAUCGUAAUAGAUGAUGGGAUGAUGGAAUGUCUCAUACAACUAGAAAAGAAAAUUGACCAUCUUGUUAAGAUUGUGAUGCCUUUAACACAAGCAUUAGUAAC
rnacentral:lncRNA from 1 species